UCCACCGUGAGGUGGAAUCCGAAGGAAGCCGGAGGCAAAGCCACGGCCCGAUGGACAAGAACCCCAUACGAGGCUAGACCGCUCGGAUGAGCUGGCUAGACACAGCGAAAUCCAAGGCUGCCAAGGGGCGGUAGAGUAUAUGGGGCGGGCGCGGGGUGAAAGUUAACGCU
rfam:Fervidicola ferrireducens strain Y170 AN618_contig000018, whole genome shotgun sequence.